rnacentral:rRNA from 1 species
GACGGGGGGUCCAAGCGUUGUUCGGAAUCAUUGGGCGUAAAGCGUGUGCAGGUGGCUCUGUAAGUUGGAUGUGAAAGCCCCGGGCUCAACUCGGGAAGUGCAUUCAAAACUACAAAGCUUGAGUAAGGAAGAGGGUCGUGGAAUUCCUGGUGUAGUGGUGAAAUACGUAGAUAUCAGGAGGAACACCGGUGGCGAAGGCGGCGACCUGGUCCUAUACUGACACUCAUACACGAGAGCGUGGGGAUCAAACAGG